rnacentral:rRNA from 1 species
CCUACGGGGGGCAGCAGUGAGGAAUAUUGGUCAAUGGGCGGGAGCCUGAACCAGCCAAGCCGCGUGAGGGACGACGGUCCUAUGGAUUGUAAACCUCUUUUGUCGGGGAACAAAGGUGCCUACGGGUGUGCGCAUGAGUUUACCCGAAGAUACAGCAUCGGCUAACUCCGUGCCAGCAGCCGCGGUAAUACGGAGGGUGCGAGCGUUAUCCGGAUUUAUUGGGUUUAAAGGGUGCGUAGGCGGACCGUCAAGCCAGGUGUAAAAGUGCGGGGGUAAACGCCGUACCGCCGUUGAAACUGGCAGUCGUGAGUGGGGGAGAGGGAGGGGGAAUGCGUGGUGUAGCGGUGAAAUGCGUAGAUA